CCUGGUUGAUCCUGCCAGUAGUCAUAUGCUUAUACUAAAGAUUAAGCCAUGCAUGUGUAAGUAUAAAUUCUUUCAUACGGUGAAACUGCGAAUGGCUCAUUAAAUCAGUAAUUAUCUAUUUGGUGGUAACAAGUUACUUGGAUAACCCUGUUAAUUGUAGAGCUAAUACAUGCCAGAAGAUCCGAGAGAGGCUAGGUGGCAACGUCUAGUUCUUUCAAAGAUUGCACUUGUUAGCCUUAGAAGCCAAUAAGAAAUGAAGCGAUUUGUUUCUUAAACCCAUUGGCGAGUCAUAACAAUUUAGCGAAUCGCAAAGUCUAGAACUUGCGAUGCUCCAUUUGAAUUUCUGACCUAUCAACUUUCGAUGGUAGGAUAGAGGCCUACCAUGGUUGUAACGGGUAACGGGGAAUUAGGGUUUGAUUCCGGAGAGGGAGCUUGAGAAACGGCUACCACUUCCAAGGAAGGCAGCAGGCGCGUAAAUUACCCAAUCCCAACACGGGGAGGUAGUGACAGUAAAUACCAAUGUAGAGCCUUAUAGGUUUUACAAUUGGAAUGAGUACAAUCCAAAUCUCUUAACGAGUAACAAUUGGAGGGCAAGUCUGGUGCCAGCAGCCGCGGUAAUUCCAGCUCCAAUAGUGUAUACUAAAGUUGUUGCGUUUGAAAAGCUCGUAGUUGGAUUUUAUGAUUGGAACGAAUUAAAUUUAAAAAUUUUUACUUUAGCAAAUUUUUGUUAAAGUGAAAGAUUUAGUUUGUUUCGAUUAUUUCCUUUUAAUAUUUUUAUUAUUGUUUUUAACUAAACGAUAAUAAAAAAUUAAAUCUAUUACUUUGAAAAAAUUAGAGUGUUCAUAGCAGGUGAAAUUUCGCCUUGAAUACAUUAGCAUGGGAUAAUAAUAAGGACUCUUUUCUUUAUUUUGGUUUUUCUAAAUUAAAGAGUAAUGAUUAAAAGGGAUAGUUGGGGUGAUUUAUAUUUCUUCGUCAGAGGUGAAAUUCUUGGACCGAAGAAAGAUAAACUACUGCGAAAGCAUUUCACAAGGAUGUUUUCAUUAAUCAAGAACGAAAGUAAGGGGAUCGAAGACGAUCAGACACCGUCCUAGUCUUUACCAUAAACGAUGCCGACCAGGGAUUAGAAGAACUAAGUUUUACAUUGUGAGCAAUCACAAUUGUGACUCCUCUAGAACCUUGUGAGAAAUCAUAAGUGUUUGGGUUUCGGGGGGAGUAUGGUCGCAAGGCUGAAACUUAAAGGAAUUGACGGAAGGGCACCACCAGGAGUGGAGCUUGCGGCUUAAUUUGACCCAACACGGGAAAACUUACCAGGUCCAGACUGAAGAAGGAUUGACA
rnacentral:rRNA from 1 species